rnacentral:pre_miRNA from 1 species
UAUAUACUCCCUCCGUCCUAGAAUUCUUGUCUUAGAUUUGUCUAGAUAUGAAUGUAUCGAGUCACAUUUUAGAAUUUUGAUACCAUUUCUAGACAAACCUAAGACAAACGGAGGGAGUAUAUG